rnacentral:lncRNA from 1 species
UGAAAAUUCACCAGAGGAGUUCAACAGUAGAUUUGAACAGGUAGAAGGAAGAAUCCAUGAAUUUAAGGACAGAUCAGUUGAGAUCCAGUUUAAUGAACAUGGGAAAAAAGAAGCAAAAUGAACAAAACUGCAAAGUCCUUUUGGACACCAUUAAGUAUACCAACUUCGGGGAGUUCAGAAGGAAAGAAGAAAAAGGGAUAGAAAUAGUAUUUGAAGAUAUCAUAGUUAUAAAUUCCUCAAAUUAAUCCACAAAUGCAUGAAGCACCAUGAACUAUAAGGAGGUUAGAUUUUUUUAUGCAUCAUAAAUAAUUAAACUCUCUAAUAUCUAGGAACAUUUUGCAAGAGAGAAAAGUGACUUAUGAUGUACAAAGGAUUCUCAAGAAGAUUAACAAGUGGUUUUAUCAUUAGAUACUAUUGGAGCCAAGGGUAAUUGGGUGGCAUUCAGAAUUUAGAAAGAAAAAAAGACUUUUAAUGAAGAAUUAUUAUUAUUCAGCAAAACUGUCCUUCAAAAUGAUAGACAUCCCCCCCCAAAAUAAAUCCUAAAUGACUUUGUUACUAGCAAACCUGCCCCAUAGGAAAUACCAAGUGAAUUCUUGUGGUCCAAAUGAAAGGACACUAGAGAAGUGUAAAUUGGAUACAAAUGAAAAAAUAAAAAGCAACAUUUCAGGCAACUACAAAAAGAAUAAAUACAUUUUUUUUUUUACUUGUAACUUUUCUUCCCUUCAGUCUUAUUUAAAAGACAGUUGCAUAAAGCAGUAAUUUUCAUUCUGUUGAUGGACAUACUGUUCUAAAAAUAUAACUUGUACUAGAAAACUGUAAAGGAGGAGGGAGAGAAUGGAGAAAAAGGCUUUAUAUAUUACUGAAAUUAAGUUUUUUUAUUUUAAUCCAGAUAACUGCCUUGGAAACUACUGAGUAAAAACUAAAAAUAAUAUUAUAAGAAAAAUUUAAGUAUACUUACUAAAAACAUCAGUUUAAUAUAAAGGAAAGCAAUAUUGAAAGAAACAAAGGAUGAAAAAUAUCUUAAUAUGUAGUGAAUCAAAGAAGAAAUCACAAUGAAAUUGGAAAAUACUUUGUUAUGACGGGAGAUUAAAAACAAACAUGGUCCAUCCUAAUUCUUGCUGGUCAGUUUGUGGCCUGACAGGUUUUACUUAUUGAACAGAGGACCCUAGAACAAUAAGGAGCAAUUUUAGUGGUGUCCCAAUACUCUACUUAAGAUUCUUGGGGAUAAAGGGAGAGGAAACUAAAUCCGUUAAGCAGAAGGAAGGACAAAACAGAUAUGCAAUAAAUGAAGUAGAAAUUACAAAAUCAUAAAAAACAAAUAAAUUCUCUGAAGAGAUAAGCAGAAUGGAAAACCUUGAGCUUGAUUGACCAUGAAAUAAAUAGAAGAUUCACAUUAUUAAAAAAAAAAAUGUGUGUG